rnacentral:misc_RNA from 1 species
AUACCAAGGGAAGGACUACUUUUAUCGUUCGAAGUUGCUUGGGUAUGUUUGCUGAACACCACAUGUUUGUUUAUUUAUCUCUACGAAUUGCCAUUUGUUUUUUCGUUGUAUUAACAUUAAAAACUGGAUCCACGCCUUAUAAAUUUGCCUUGUUGCAUUCUGUUCUUCAUUUUUGAUGUAGUGUGUUAGUACUAUGAUAAUUUUUCUUGGCAACUUUAGCUAUAGGGAUUCAUUAUUCAUCAUUAGGUGUCGGGUGGGUCAGCCACUGGCUGCUUAAUUGAAAAUGAUUUCACUAGAAGCUUAGUUGAUGAUGUUCGAAAAAGAUACUUUAGGCAGGGCAGGGCAGCACUCCGUGCGAUCCCAUCAACUUUUACUUUACAUGAUGCCCCCAAGCCAGACGACAGGGAUCAAGUCACGGAUUAGCAUAUUAAAAUUGGCCGAAUAGUGAAAUCAAUUUCAAUAAGGCUUUAGCCUAGUGGUAAAAUUGCCCGAGCUUGAGGCCUCAAG